GCCCUUUGGAGGAUAGCUCAGUCAGUACAGCACGAGACUCUUAAUCUCAGGGUUGUGGGUUUGAGCACCACCAGGGGCA